GACGAACGCUGGCGGCGUGCUUAACACAUGCAAGUCGAGCGGUAAGGCCCUUUCGGGGGUACGACGAGCGGCGAACGGGUGAGUAACACGUGGGUGACCUGCCCUUACGCUCUGGGAUAAGCCUGGGAAACUGGGUCUAAUACCGGAUAUGACUCCAUAACGCAUGUUGUGGGGGUGGAAAGCCUUGUGCGGCUAGGGAUGGGCCCGCGGCCUAUCAGCUUGUUGGUGGGGUGAUGGCCACCAAGGCGACGACGGGUAGCCGGCCUGAGAGGGCGACCGG
rnacentral:rRNA from 1 species